rnacentral:rRNA from 1 species
CGGGAGGUUCUACCUCUACGAGAUUGCAAUGAGAACAAUUUAAAACACUUAACGAGGAACAAUUGGAGGGCAAGUCUGGUGCCAGCAGCCGCGGUAAUUCCAGCUCCAAUAGCGUAUAUUAAAGUUGUUGCAGUUAAAAAGCUCGUAGUCGAAUUUCUGGCUGUGCGUAUUUUUGGCUUCGGUCGAUGUAUUGCAUAGUCAUCCGAAUGAAAAAAUAACUCGGCCUUCGCUGGUCGGUUAUUGGAUCAUUCACUUUACCUUGAAAAAAUUAGAGUGUUUCAGGCAGGUAAUCGCCGGAAUACAUUAGCAUGGAAUAAUGGAAUAGGACUCGUGUUCGUUGUUGGUUAUGAACAGGAGUAAUGAUUAAUAGGGACAGUUGGGGGCAUUAGUAUUUAAUUGUCAGAGGUGAAAUUCUUGGAUUUAUUAAAGACUAACUUAUGCGAAAGCAUUUGCCAAGGAUGUUUUCAUUGAUCAAGAACGAAAGAUAGGGGAUCAAAUACGAUCAGAUACCGUCGUAGUCUUAUCUAUAAACUUUUCCAACUCGGGAUCAGCAGGGUUAAUUAUUGGGCCCUGUUGGCACCGUAUGAGAAAUCAAAGUCUUUGGGUUCUGGGGGAGUAUGGUCGCAAGGCUGAAACUUAAAGGAAUUGACGGAAGGGCACCACCAGGAGUGGAGCCUGCGGCUUAAUUUGACUCAACACGGGGAAACUUACCAGGUCAAAACAUGGAUGGGAUUGACAGAUUGAAAGCUCUUUCUUGAUUCUAUGGGUGGUGGUGCAUGGCCGUUCCUAGUUGGUGGAGUGAUUUGUCUGGUUAAUUCCGAUAACGAACGAGACCUUAACCUGCUAACUAGUUUGAUUCUUUUUAGAGUUAUAACUUCUUAGAGGGACUAUGUAUUUAAAUGCAUGGAAGUUUGAGGCAAUAACAGGUCUGUGAUGCCCUUAGACGUCCUGGGCCGCACGCGCGCUACACUGACAGAUUUAACAAGUUUCUCCUGUUCCGACAGGAUACGGGAAAUCUUUUGAGGAUCUGUCGUGCUGGGGAUCGAUCUUUGUAAUUAUAGAUCUUGAACGAGGAAUUCCUUGUAAGCAUAAGUCAUCAGCUUGUGCUGAAUACGUCCCUGCCCUUUGUACACACCGCCCGUCGCUCCUACCGAUUUUGAGUGAUCCGGUGAGCUUUCUAGACUGAGUGUAGGCUUGAACUAUAUUCGGGAAGUUACGCAAACC